rnacentral:rRNA from 1 species
GGGGUGCUUACACAUGCAGUCGAACGGGAUCCAUCGGGCUUUGCUUGGUGGUGAGAGUGGCGAACGGGUGAGUAAUGCGUGACCGACCUGCCCCAUGCUCCGGAAUAGCUCCUGGAAACGGGUGGUAAUGCCGGAUGUUCCACAUGAUCGCAUGUGAUUGUGGGAAAGAUUCUAUCGGCGUGGGAUGGGGUCGCGUCCUAUCAGCUUGUUGGUGAGGUAACGGCUCACCAAGGCUUCGACGGGUAGCCGGCCUGAGAGGGCGACCGGCCACAUUGGGACUGAGAUACGGCCCAGACUCCUACGGGAGGCAGCAGUGGGGAAUAUUGCACAAUGGGCGCAAGCCUGAUGCAGCGACGCCGCGUGAGGGAUGGAGGCCUUCGGGUUGUAAACCUCUUUUGUUUGGGAGCAAGCCUUCGGGUGAGUGUACCUUUCGAAUAAGCGCCGGCUAACUACGUGCCAGCAGCCGCGGUAAUACGUAGGGCGCAAGCGUUAUCCGGAUUUAUUGGGCGUAAAGGGCUCGUAGGCGGCUCGUCGCGUCCGGUGUGAAAGUCCAUCGCUUAACGGUGGAUCUGCGCCGGGUACGGGCGGGCUGGAGUGCGGUAGGGGAGACUGGAAUUCCCGGUGUAACGGUGGAAUGUGUAGAUAUCGGGAAGAACACCGAUGGCGAAGGCAGGUCUCUGGGCCGUCACUGACGCUGAGGAGCGAAAGCGUGGGGAGCGAACAGGAUUAGAUACCCUGGUAGUCCACGCCGUAAACGGUGGACGCUGGAUGUGGGGCACGUUCCACGUGUUCCGUGUCGGAGCUAACGCGUUAAGCGUCCCGCCUGGGGAGUACGGCCGCAAGGCUAAAACUCAAAGAAAUUGACGGGGGCCCGCACAAGCGGCGGAGCAUGCGGAUUAAUUCGAUGCAACGCGAAGAACCUUACCUGGGCUUGACAUGUUCCCGACGACGCCAGAGAUGGCGUUUCCCUUCGGGGCGGGUUCACAGGUGGUGCAUGGUCGUCGUCAGCUCGUGUCGUGAGAUGUUGGGUUAAGUCCCGCAACGAGCGCAACCCUCGCCCCGUGUUGCCAGCACGUUAUGGUGGGAACUCACGGGGGACCGCCGGGGUUAACUCGGAGGAAGGUGGGGAUGACGUCAGAUCAUCAUGCCCCUUACGUCCAGGGCUUCACGCAUGCUACA